rnacentral:rRNA from 1 species
GAUGAACGCUAGCUACAGGCUUAACACAUGCAAGUCGAGGGGAAACGGCAUUGAGUGCUUGCACUCUUUGGACGUCGACCGGCGCACGGGUGAGUAACGCGUAUCCAACCUUCCCAUUACUGUGGGAUAACCUGCCGAAAGGCAGACUAAUACCGCAUAGUCUUCGAUGACGGCAUCAGAUUUGAAGUAAAGAUUUAUCGGUAAUGGAUGGGGAUGCGUCUGAUUAGCUUGUUGGCGGGGUAACGGCCCACCAAGGCAACGAUCAGUAGGGGUUCUGAGAGGAAGGUCCCCCACAUUGGAACUGAGACACGGUCCAAACUCCUACGGGAGGCAGCAGUGAGGAAUAUUGGUCAAUGGGCGAGAGCCUGAACCAGCCAAGUAGCGUGCAGGAUGACGGCCCUAUGGGUUGUAAACUGCUUUUGUAUGGGGAUAAAGUCAAUCACGUGUGAUUGUUUGCAGGUACCAUACGAAUAAGGACCGGCUAAUUCCGUGCCAGCAGCCGCGGUAAUACGGAAGGUCCGGGCGUUAUCCGGAUUUAUUGGGUUUAAAGGGAGCGUAGGCUGGAGAUUAAGUGUGUUGUGAAAUGUAGACGCUCAACGUCUGACUUGCAGCGCAUACUGGUUUCCUUGAGUACGCACAACGUUGGCGGAAUUCGUCGUGUAGCGGUGAAAUGCUUAGAUAUGACGAAGAACUCCGAUUGCGAAGGCAGCUGACGGGAGCGCAACUGACGCUGAAGCUCGAAGGUGCGGGUAUCGAACAGG